AUGUUACCCCACAUUACCCCACGUUACCUCAUGUUACCCCACAUUACCCGACGUUACCCCACAUUACCCCACGUUACCCCACAUUACCUCAUGUUACCCCACGAUAUCCCACGUUACCUCAUGUUACCCCACGUUACCCCACGUUACCUCAUGUUACCCCACAUUACCCGACAUUACCCCAUGUUACCCCACGUUACCUCAUGUUACCCCACAUUACCCGACGUUACCUCAUGUUACCCCACAUUACCCGACGUUACCCCACAUUACCCCACAUUACCCCACGUUACCUCAUGUUACCCGACAUACCUCAUGUUACCCCACAUUACCCCACGUUACCUCAUGUUACCCCACAUUACCUCAUGUUACCCCACGUUACCCCACAUUACUCUACAUUACCCCACGUUACCCCACAUUACCUCAUGUUACCCCACAUUACCCGACGUUACCUCAUGUUACCCCACAUUACCCGAUGUUACCCCACGUUACCCCACGUUACCUCAUGUUACCCCACGUUACCUCAUGUUACCGUUACCCCACGUUACCCCACAUUACCUCAUGUUACCCCACGAUAUCCCACGUUACCUCAAGUUACCUCAUGUUACCCCACAUUACCCGACGUUACCUCAUGUUACCCCACGAUUACCCCCUCAUGUUACCCCACAUUACCUCACGUUACCUCAUGUUACCCCACGUUACCUCGACGUUACCUCAUGUUACCUCCAUGUUACCCCACGUUACCUCAUGUUACCCCACAUUACCCGACGUUACCUCAUGUUACCCCACGUUACCCCACGUUACCCGAAGUUACCUCAUGUUACCUCAUGUUACCUCAUGUUACCCCGUUACACGUUACCUCAUGUUACCCCACAUUACCCGACGUUACCUCAUGUUACCCCACGUUAUCCCAAGUUACCCCAAGUUACCUCAUGUUACCCCACAUUACCUCAUGUUACCCCACAUUACCCGACGUUACCAAGUAACCUCAUGUUACCCCACAUUACCUCACAUUACUCCACGUUACCCGACGUUACCCCACGUUACCUCAUGUUACAUCAAGUUACCCGACGUUACCCCACGUUACCUCAUGUUACAUCAAGUUACCCGACGUUACCCGACGUUACCCGACGUAAAACCACACAUUGUUGUUUGUUUUCACCCUUUUUGUGCGAUUCAUUAUAA
rnacentral:lncRNA from 1 species